rnacentral:rRNA from 1 species
UACGUAGGGUGCAAGCGUUGUUCGGAAUCAUUGGGCGUAAAGCGCGUGUAGGUGGUUAGGUAAGUCGGAUGUGAAAUCCCUGGGCUCAACCCGAGGAAGUGCAUUCGAAACUACCUAGCUAGAGGACGGUAGAGGAAGGUGGAAUUCCUAGUGUAGAGGUGAAAUUCGUAGAUAUUAGGAGGAAUACCGGUGGCGAAGGCGGCCUCUGGGCCGUUCCUGACACUGAGACGCGAAAGCGUGGGUAGCAAACAGGG